rnacentral:rRNA from 1 species
GAGUUUGAUCUUGGCUCAGAUUGAACGCUGGCGGCAUGCCUUACACAUGCAAGUCGAACGGCAGCACGGGAGCUUGCUCCUGGUGGGCGAGUGGCGAACGGGUGAGUAAUGCAUCGGAACGUAUCCUGGAGUGGGGGAUAACGUAGCGAAAGUUACGCUAAUACCGCAUAUUCUGUGAGCAGGAAAGCGGGGGACCUUCGGGCCUCGCGCUCUUGGAGCGGCCGAUGUCGGAUUAGCUAGUUGGUGAGGUAAAGGCUCACCGAGGCGACGAUCCGUAGCAGGUCUGAGAGGAUGAUCUGCCACACUGGAACUGAGACACGGUCCAGACUCCUACGGGAGGCAGCAGGUGGGAAUUUUGGACAAUGGGGGCAACCCUGACUCAGCCAUGCCGCGUGAGUGAA